rnacentral:tRNA from 7 species
GGACCGGUAGUUCAGUUGGUUAGAAUGCCGCCCUGUCACGGCGGAGGUCGCGGGUUCGAGUCCCGUCCGGUCCGCCA